rnacentral:rRNA from 1 species
AUUGAACGCUGGCGGCAUGCCUUACACAUGCAAGUCGAACGGCAGCACGGGUGCUUGCCCCUGGUGGCGAGUGGCGAACGGGUGAGUAAUACAUCGGAACAUGUCCUGUAGUGGGGGAUAGCCCGGCGAAAGCCGGAUUAAUACCGCAUACGAUCUACGGAUGAAAGCGGGGGACCUUCGGGCCUCGCGCUAUAGGGUUGGCCGAUGGCUGAUUAGCUAGUUGGUGGGGUAAAGGCCUACCAAGGCGACGAUCAGUAGCUGGUCUGAGAGGACGACCAGCCACACUGGGACUGAGACACGGCCCAGACUCCUACGGGAGGCAGCAGUGGGGAAUUUUGGACAAAGGGCGAAAGCCUGAUCCAGCAAUGCCGCGUGUGUGAAGAAGGCCUUCGGGUUGUAAAGCACUUUUGUCCGGAAAGAAAUCCUUGGCUCUAAUACAGUCGGGGGAUGACGGUACCGGAAGAAUAAGCACCGGCUAACUACGUG